rnacentral:rRNA from 1 species
GUCGUAACAAGGUUUCCGUAGGUGAACCUGCGGAAGGAUCAUUAGCACUAAUCCAAUUCAACUCAACAAAGCCUUUAGUUGUAGCGUGGAAACAUGCUGCAGCAACAUACAAAACUAAUAAGUCAAAGAAACUUAACAAAGCAACUAAAACAAAAACCAAAUUCUCAACGGUGGAUGUCUUGGUUCCCACAACGAUGAAGAACGCAGCGAAGUGCGAUAAGCAGUGCGAAUUGCAGAACCGUGAGUCAUCAGAUUUUUGAACGCAACUGGCGCCGUGCGGGGUCACCCGCCGGCACGCCUGGUCCAGUGUCUUGUUUUCUCAUCACCAAAAUCAUAAUGCGAGAGAUACCCUUCUCUCGUCAAGCACGAAAGCACUCUGCGCUCUGCGAGCGGCCUUCGGGUCGCACUCAAUGCAGCAGUCACAUUUUUACAAGUGUGAACUCAUUGAGAGUGGACGCAGCGAGGAGUAAUCUUCAAGUGUUUAGUCACACCAACUUUGGUACGGUAUCUGGGCUCAGGUGGGACCACCCGCUGAACUUAAGCAUAUCACUAAGCGGAGGAAAAGAAACUAACUAGGAUGGCCUCAGUAACGGCGAGUGAAGCGGCCAAAGUCCAAGAUGGUAAUCUCCGUGCUGCGCACGGCGAAUUGUAAUCUAGAGGUGCUAUUCUCACCGGAUAGUGGCGCAGAAGUGCUCUGGAACGGGCCGCCAAAGAGGGUGACAGCCCCGUAUGUGGUGCCACUGUCUAACGAGAAGGUAUCCAAAGAGUCGGGUUGUUUGAUAUUGCAGUCCUAAGUGGGAGAUAAACUUCUUCUAAGACUAAAUAUAUGUGGGAAACCGAUAGCGAACAAGUACUGUGAAGGAAAGAUGAAAAGCACUUUGGAAAGAGAGUCAAAAGACCUGAAACCGUUGAGGAGGAAGCGGUAGAGAUGAAUUCUACGGCGAGGCACGGGGAAGGCGAUCUAACCAUGGCGGGGUGGAGUACGUCAAAGGCGAAGCUUCGUCCAAGGGGAAAUCGGUUACUUGUGCGGCGUUGUGAGGCCGGAUGGGGCGGCGCGACCGCAGAGGCCUUCCAGACCUGGGGUGGCUUGCUGCUCAGUCUGGGAGUGUCGGUGGACGCGCGGCCUGAGGGUGCUUUGUGCGAUCCGGUCAAAAUGGUCUUUACCGACCCGUCUUGAAACACGGACCAAGGAGUCUAACGUACACGCGAGUGUGCCGGUGGAGAAACCGACACGCGCAAUGAAGGUGAGUGAUGCCAAGCGCAAGCAGCAGCAUCGACCGACCAUGAUCCUCUGGUGAAAGGUUUGAGUAAGAGCGUGUCCGCUAGGACCCGAAAGAUGGUGAACUAUGCGUGA